rnacentral:rRNA from 1 species
GACGAACGCUGGCGGCGUGCUUAACACAUGCAAGUCGAACGGAAAGGCCCUGCUUGCAGGGUACUCGAGUGGCGAACGGGUGAGUAACACGUGGGUGAUCUGCCCUGCACUUCGGGAUAAGCCUGGGAAACUGGGUCUAAUACCGGAUAGGAGCCAUUUUUAGUGUGAUGGUUGGAAAGUUUUUUCGGUGUAGGAUGAGCUCGCGGCCUAUCAGCUUGUUGGUGGGGUAAUGGCCUACCAAGGCGGCGACGGGUAGCCGGCCUGAGAGGGUGGACGGCCACAUUGGGACUGAGAUACGGCCCAGACUCCUACGGGAGGCAGCAGUGGGGAAUAUUGCACAAUGGGCGCAAGCCUGAUGCAGCGACGCCGCGUGGGGGAUGACGGCCUUCGGGUUGUAAACUCCUUUCGCUAGGGACGAAGCUUUUGUGACGGUACCUAGAUAAGAAGCACCGGCUAACUACGUA